rnacentral:rRNA from 1 species
UACAGAGGAGCCAAGCGUUGUCCGGAUUGACUGGGCGUAAAGCGCACGCAGGCGGUCGCGCGCGUGGGGUGUGAAAUCUGGCCGCUUAACGGCCAGGCGCCAUCCCAUACGGCGCGACUGGAGGGAUGCAGAGGUCGAUGGAAUUGCCGGUGUAGUGGUGAAAUGCGCAGAUAUCGGGAGGAACACCCGUAGCGAAGGCGGCACUCUGGGCCGGAACUGACGCUGAGGAGCGAAAGCGUAGGGAGCAAACAGG